GAAUAUUGCGCAAUGGGCGGAAGCCUGACGCAGCCACGCCGCGUGUGUGAUGAAGGCCUUCGGGUCGUAAAGCACUGUCGGGAGGGAAGAAUCCAUGACGGUACCUCCCAAGAAAGCGCCGGCUAACCCCGUGCCAGCAGCCGCGGUAAUACGGGGGGCGCAAGCGUUGCUCGGAACCACUGGGCGUAAAGCGUACGCAGGCGGCGCGUUAAGUCGGGUGUGAAAGCCCGGGGCUCAACCCCGGAACUGCAUUCGAUACUGGCGCGCUUGAGUACGGGAGAGGGGAGCGGAAUUCCUGGUGUAGAGGUGAAAUUCGUAGAUAUCAGGAGGAACAUCAGUGGCGAAAGCGGCUCCCUGGUCCGAUACUGACGCUCAUGUACGAAAGCGUGGGGAGCAAACAG
rnacentral:rRNA from 1 species